rnacentral:rRNA from 1 species
UACGAAGGGUGCAAGCGUUGUCCGGAAUUAUUGGGCGUAAAGCGCGCGCAGGCGGUCGUUCAAGUCGAGUGUGAAAGCCCCCGGCCCAACUGGGGAGGGUCAUUCGAUACUGAUCGACUUGAAGGCAGGAGAGGGAAGUGGAAUUCCCGGUGUAGUGGUGAAAUGCGUAGAUAUCGGGAGGAACACCAGUGGCGAAGGCGACUUCCUGGCCUGUUCUUGACGCUGAGGCGCGAAAGCUAGGGGAGCAAACGGG